rnacentral:rRNA from 1 species
GAAUCUCUAAAAGUUGACUGACACUGAGACACGAAAGCUAGGGGAGCGAAGCAGAUUAGAGACCUGCGUAGUCCUAGCCCUAAACGAAUGCUUGCUAGCUGCAUGAGAUCGGAACUUAGUCGUGAGGCAACUCACGACUGAUUUCUGAUUUCGUGUGGCGAAGGUAACCCGUUAAGCAAGCCGCCUGGGGAGUACGACCGCAAGGUUAAAACUCAAAGGAAUUGGCGGGGAGGCACACAACCAGUGGAACAUGUGGUUUAAUUCGAAACGAAACGAGGAACCUCACCAGGGUUUGACAUCCUAGUGAAAUUCCGAUGAAAGUCGGAACCUCCCGCAAGGGACACUAGAACAGGUGCUGCAUGGCUGUCGUCAGUUCGUUCCGUGAGGAGUGCCCUUAAGUGGGACAACGAACGCAACCCCCAUCUUGUGUUAUAUUUGUCACAAGAGACUGCUCCACGUUUUUCGUGGGGAGGAAGGAGGGGCAGACGUCAAGUCAGCAUGGUCCUUAUACCCUGGGCUACACACAUGUUACAAUGGGGAGGACAGAGGGUUUUGCAAGCCGGCAACGGCAAGCGAAUCCCUAAAACCUCCUCUCAGUAGGGAUUGAGGUCUGCAAGUCGACCUCAUGAACCUGGAAUUGGUAGUAAUCGCGAAUCAGCUAUGUCGCGGUGAAUACGUUCUUGCCUCUUGCACACACCGCCCGUCAAGCCAACAAAGUCGAGGACAUUUGAACCCCGAUGUAAAUCGGGGGAGAAUCUUCUCGGCGAUGAGGGUUAAGUCGUAACAAGGUAUCCGUUCUGGAAGGAGCGGAUGGAUCACCUCCUUU